UCCCCUUGUAAGGAAGAUAGCCUCCUCU
rnacentral:piRNA from 1 species